rnacentral:pre_miRNA from 11 species
AGGAGACCAGCCCCGCCUUCCCAGUGUUCAGACUACCUGUUCAGGAAGCUACAAAGGUGUACAGUAGUCUGCACAUUGGUUAGACUGGGCUUGGGUGAGCA